AACGGCCGUACCAUGCUGAAUAUACCGGUUCUCGUUAGAUCACCGAAGUCAAGCAUCAUUGGACACGGUCAGUACUUGGGUGGGUGACCACCUGGGAACACUUCGUGCCGUU
rnacentral:rRNA from 1 species